GUUCGGAUCGAUGUUUGUAGGACCGUAGUCAGAGCUUCCAAGCCCCCUUCUCAUCUCUUUCUGUGGUUAGUGUUCUGAUGUCCCGAAAUAAAUAAUCUUUGAAGUAAUUCUUGAUUCUUAGAUCAACUAGAGAACUCUCAGGAAACUUCCUCUCUUCCCACCAAAAAUAAUUAUAUAGUUAUCCUUGGGUGAUCUUGGAUCUUAAUUAGUACACUCACGUUCCCUGUGGAAAUCGAUACUCUGGAAUACUCCCGGGUGAAAGCUACAUCGGUAUUCGUGCGCUUGCGGAUUUUUCUAUUUGAGUUUAAAAUACCCAACAAGCUUUCUGGCACCGUUGCCGGGGAAUGGUAGUUGUGCUAGUUUCGAACCAAUUCGUCUGUGUAUCCUUUUUCUUUUCUUUUUUUUACCACACUCACCUUACCAUUUUCACCAUACCACAUGGAUUUCACUCCAAGCAUUAAUGAGCAUGGAAUUUAUUUCAUAGCCACUUCAUUUGCUCCAUGCUCAUAUGCAACAUCUUUCCAAUAUAUUGGUCUCUCCAACAUGACCACAUUCGAGAUCUCCAACCCCCUCUUCCUUUCUAUUUAUAAAAACUUUAAAAAGGCGGUUGUCGAUGCAUAUGUCUAUAUUAAAUAUUGCAGAUCUCGUUGAGUUGAUCUUGAUAUAGGUCAGCGUCGGAGGGGAAACCACUUCGCAGACAUAAAUUGAUGGUUUCCCAAGGACAAGCUUAGUGUCCUAACAUAAGCACUGAUCAGAUCGUAACAUGAGCUUUUAAUUGCA
rnacentral:lncRNA from 1 species